GCCAAUGAGGAUAUAAUCCACUUUGGAUGAGGUGCAGUGGAGCCAUGUCCCUGUUUAUCAGGGAGAACCUACUUGGCAGAAGCUGCAAUUCACUGAUAUUAAUGGGUUCUACUGAGGC
rfam:Corchorus olitorius cultivar O-4 contig15285, whole genome shotgun sequence.